rnacentral:rRNA from 1 species
CCUANGUGAGGCAGCAGUGGGGAAUCUUGCGCAAUGGGCGAAAGCCUGACGCAGCAACGCCGCGUGUGUGAUGAAGGUCUUCGGAUCGUAAAGCACUGUCGGGAGGGACGAAUAAGGGCCGGGUGAACAAUCCGGUCUGACGACUGUACCUCCAAAGGAAGCACCGGCUAACUCUGUGCCAGCAGCCGCGGUAAUACAGAGGGUGCUAGCGUUGUUCGGAAUUAUUGGGCGUAAAGCGCGUGUAGGCGGCCAACCAAGUCGGAUGUGAAAGCCCUCGGCUUAACCGAGGAAGUGCGUUCGAUACUAGUUGGCUUGAGUACCGGAGAGGGUGGUGGAAUUCCCGGUGUAGAGGUGAAAUUCGUAGAUAUCGGGAGGAACACCAGUGGCGAAGGCGACCACCUGGACGGAUACUGACGCUGAGACGCGAAAGCGUGGGGAGCAAACAGGAUUAGAUACCCCANUANUC